UACGUAGGCAGCAAGCGUUGUUCGGAGUUACUGGGCGUAAAGGGUGUGUAGGCGGUUGUUUAAGUUUGGUGUGAAAUCUCCCGGCUCAACUGGGAGGGUGCGCCGAAUACUGGAUGACUCGAGUGCGGGAGAGGAAAGUGGAAUUCCUGGUGUAGCGGUGAAAUGCGUAGAUAUCAGGAGGAACACCGGUGGUGUAGACGGCUUUCUGGACCGUAACUGACGCUGAGACACGAAAGCGUGGGUAGCAAACAGG
rnacentral:rRNA from 1 species